rnacentral:rRNA from 1 species
GGCGUGCUUAACACAUGCAAGUCGAACGGAAAGGCCCUGCUUUUGUGGGGUGCUCGAGUGGCGAACGGGUGAGUAACACGUGAGUAACCUGCCCUUGACUUUGGGAUAACUUCAGGAAACUGGGGCUAAUACCGGAUAGGAGCUCCUGCUGCAUGGUGGGGGUUGGAAAGUUUCGGCGGUUGGGGAUGGACUCGCGGCUUAUCAGCUUGUUGGUGGGGUAGUGGUUACCAAGGCUUUGACGGGUAGCCGGCCUGAGAGGGUGACCGGCCACAUUGGGACUGAGAUACGGCUCAGACUCCUACGGGAGGCAGCAGUGGGGAAUAUUGCACAAUGGGCGGAAGCCUGAUGCAGCAACGCCGCGUGCGGGAUGACGGCCUUCGGGUUGUAAACCGCUUUCGCCUGUGACGAAGCGUGAGUGACGGUAAUGGGUAAAGAAGCACCGGCUAACUACGUGCCAGCAGCCGCGGUGAUACGUAGGGUGCGAGCGUUGUCCGGAUUUAUUGGGCGUAAAGGGCUCGUAGGUGGUUGAUCGCGUCGGAAGUGUAAUCUUGGGGCUUAACCCUGAGCGUGCUUUCGAUACGGGUUGACUUGAGGAAGGUAGGGGAGAAUGGAAUUCCUGGUGGAGCGGUGGAAUGCGCAGAUAUCAGGAGGAACACCAGUGGCGAAGGCGGUUCUCUGGGCCUUUCCUGACGCUGAGGAGCGAAAGCGUGGGGAGCGAACAGGCUUAGAUACCCUGGUAGUCCACGCUGUAAACGGUGGGUACUAGGUGUGGGGUCCAUUCCACGGGUUCCGCGCCGUAGCUAACGCUUUAAGUACCCCGCCUGGGGAGUACGGCCGCAAGGCUAAAACUCAAAGGAAUUGACGGGGCCCCGCACAAGCGGCGGAGCAUGCGGAUUAAUUCGAUGCAACGCGUAGAACCUUACCUGGGUUUGACAUGGAUCGGGAGUGCUCAGAGAUGGGUGUGCCUCUUUUGGGGUCGGUUCACAGGUGGUGCAUGGCUGUCGUCAGCUCGUGUCGUGAGAUGUUGGGUUAAGUCCCGCAACGAGCGCAACCCUUGUUCACUGUUGCCAGCACGUUAUGGUGGGGACUCAGUGGAGACCGCCGGGGUCAACUCGGAGGAAGGUGGGGAUGACGUCAAGUCAUCAUGCCCCUUAUGUCCAGGGCUUCACGCAUGCUACAAUGGCUGGUACAGAGAGUGGCGAGCCUGUGAGGGUGAGCGAAUCUCGGAAAGCCGGUCUCAGUUCGGAUUGGGGUCUGCAACUCGACCUCAUGAAGUUGGAGUCGCUAGUAAUCGCAGAUCAGCAACGCUGCGGUGAAUACGUUCCCGGGGCUUGUACACACCGCCCGUCAAGUCAUGAAAGUUGGUAACACCCGAAGCCGGUGGCCUAACCGUUGUGGGGGAGCCGUCGAAGGUGGGACUGGUGAUUAGGACUAAGUCGUAACAAGG